AGAAGCCGCCUGUGUGUCAAAGCCUAGAAAUGCCCCUAUGAAGACCAGCUUUGAGAAGAGCUGACAUAAAGAGUGGUCAGAAGAAAGUCGUUCAUUCUGCCUAAGGCCUUCAAGCUACAGUGACAGAGAAGGUGUGGCUGCAGGUGUGGCAGGCAGCAGGUCGUGAUUGUACAUUCAUGAGUCAAGAGAUGCAUGCUAGGACGAUACUUCUUUUGUCUUUCUCAUCCAGUAUAGAAUGAGCUACAAUAAGGGUGGAUUUUUACCUCUCAAUUAAACCUUUAUAAAACAG